GAGCAUGCAAAUUGAAACUGGUGUUAUUAUUCUCACUAUUUCUUCACCUAGUGAAUCAAGAACACUUUUGGGUUUUGAAUUUUCGUCCAUCUGGAACACCAAAUUGAAAUGAAUUUGGGAGCAAUUGCAAGAAUUUUGGAUUUAAUAGGUGUUGAGAAUUGCUUUUGGAUUCUGGGAAAAAUUUGGAACUUCCAAUAUUGACUUUGGAUCUUGAGAGACUUAUCAAAAAAGUAACCCGACCCGAGUUAGAUCCGAAUUAUGAAUUUGUGAUUCAUGACUCUGGCCCAAAUUUAGCUAUGAGUGGCACCUUAUUAGAUGUGUAUAUUGUACCCCUCAGUUUAAAAAAGAAUGAAGUUAUCAUAAUUAUGUAGGUUGUACCUCCUCCAAUUUAAAAAAGAAUGAAGUAUAUCACUUCUUUUUUUAAAUUUUAAUUUAAUUUUUUACAUGUCAUAGUUAGAAUCACAGACUUAAAGAAUAUUUUAGUAUAUUUAAAAUAAUAAUUUAAAAAUAUUCUUUAUUUUCUUUAAUUUCAUGUCAUGUCAAAAUAGAUCAUUUUUUUUAAACGGAGAGAGUAUAAUAGGUAACGAGAAUCUUUUCACUUUUUUUCAAAAAAUUAUUUUACUUUACUGAAAAAAAAAAUAUAAUGUUUAGUCAUAAGAAUUAUUUCACUUUAGUGAAAAUUAUUUUUGGAAAAGUGUUUUCACUUUUUUCACUUUUAUUUAUCUCACAAAAUUUCAAAAAUAACUCCAAUUUAGAAGGCCCUUGUACUUGAUUCAGAUUGUCAAUUUAACUCUUGUAUUCAUGACUUUAUCAACUGAACAUUUAAACUCAAUGAAACACAAUAUUUUAAAUCACGGACCAGAUAAUAAAAGGAUUUAAAAUAUUGUGUUAUUGAGUUUAAGUAUUCAAUCGUCAUAAUCGUGAGUUAAAGAAUUCAAUUGACAAUUCAAAUCAGAUAUAAGAAUCUCGCAAGUCCUUCCUUCUUAUUUUUAAAGAAGAAUUUAAGUUGUAUAAAGUGAUCACCCAAGUCAAUUAAGGUCACUUAUCAUUUAUUACUCUCUCAAAGCACACAAUCUAAGGGAUUAUUGACAUGAUAGACGAUUGAUCUAAAGACCAUACCAAUACAGAAAGAUAAUAAAAUACACUUUUGAACUCUAUUUUGAGCAAAAGAAAGCACUACUGACUCAUGUCAAAUCUGUUUCUCAUAAUUUUUUUCUUGAGCCGAACAUUAAUCGAAAACAAUCUUUAUCUCACAAAGCAGAAAUAAAGCUGGCAUACAUUCCAUAAUCCUCAAACCCGAUUUGUGAAAUCACGCUAUAUCAGGAACAUUAUGUCAAAAGUCAUAGCUACACAACACUACUCCAAAAGACAAUAAACUAGGACAUCAAAACUUCCAAAUUACUCUAUUUCACUUCAAGUCAAGAAGUAAAUUGACUCACAAAUUAAAAGAUAAUAGUAGAAGUUAUAAUUAAAAGAAAACCUAGUGUAGUGUUUAAUUCUCUAUGUAUCUAUUUCAUUAAAUUUUACAAUGGAACCAUGAAAAAUCAUACUUCAAACAGAACAACAUGGGCUAAAAGUGGUCCCACUCAGCCAUAAAGGUUGGAAGACAGAAGAUAAAUUCAGACAUUAAAGUCUGUAGUCAGUCCCAACAAAUAAAAAGAGCUACCGAUUAUUAUUAUCUGAUCAGUUCAAUUGACUUCGCCCAAGUAAACAUAGGCGGCUUGAACUUUGGAAGGACUAUUAGUACUAAGUUUUAAGUCAUGGCGUUCAGUACAUCUGUACAUGUAAAAGGGAAAACUUGAAUGAGCACAUGCUCUAGAGCAAAGAAUAGGACUCAAAAGGUAUAUCAAAUUUGUUAAUAAAAUUAAACGAUAUUGUCCGGCUCAAUUUGUGCACGCAUCGACUAUCCAAUCAAAUGAGUGCACCUCAAUUAUUCAUCAGACCUGCUAUCUUCCCACCAGCCCUAAUAAAGGUAGGAAUAACUUAGGCCCCUAAGGCUCUAGGCAGAAAUGAAGAUAUCACCCAACGCUGUUUGUUGCUGUUGGGAUGAAAACUUGGUUUUCUUCACCGUCUACAUUGACCUCUAGGCCACACAAUUGGUUGCAACCCAGGGUAUAUGAAUGUACUUGAUGUUUUCUUUGUCAGCAACAAGAUCAAUUUUGUCCUGCCAAAUCAUUUUGAUUUACUCCUUUCUCGUUGUUAAUGCUCUUUUCGUGGCAGAAAUUCAGUACCCCAUGACUGUCACUGAGCAUUUGUAUCAUGAAUGCUUCAUCAUUAAGGUAAAAGUCGUUCCAAGUCUUCACCCUUGUAAUUGUAUCUGUAGUUUUCAAAGUUAAACCUUUGCUGGAGUGAAGGUCUUGACUCUGUAAAGGGAACAGUGAUGCUAGGGGCCAAUAUACUGGUGAUUGAUACAUUUACGGGGUCGUUUGACAGCUGGUUAGGAGCUAAGUUAUUCAUCUAUUAAAUCCUGCAUAAGUAUCAGUAGCACUCUUUUGUUAUGUAUAAAAUCAAACAACGCCUAAUACAAUGUUUGGUUUGCAGCUUACAAACCCGCAUAACUGAUACCCGUGCAAGUUUGGGAGUCUAUAUAUUUUAGGAAAAAAGGUCAAAAAUACCCAUCUACUUUCAUUAAAUAGCUAACUUUACCCUUCAUCAUACUAUGUGACCAUAUUUACCCCUUCAGUCAUAGUCAUACUAUGGGGCUAUAUUUGCCCCUGCCGUUAUCAAACUUUUCAUUUAUACCCCUAUUUUGGAUAGAAACCCCCAAAUUAAAAUAAAAUAUCCAACUCUUAAAAAAACACCCAUUAUCCUCAUUUGACCCGCUCCGAACCAAGUAAAGAAACACAGUCGAGAUAAAUAUCCAGCUCCCAAAUCAGCUACCCUCAUUGAUUCUUCCUUUAAAAAGGACGACAAUUGUGAAUUUGGGAAGCUGAUAUUGAUGAAGAUGAUGAUGGGGUAGUAGGGCAAUUCAUUUGACUAAAACCUUGUACAUAUAAUUGGCUUGCAAAAGCCACUUUCUUUAUUCAAUUGAUUAGAGUAUUUUCUUGCUAUUUUUUUCUUCAACCCCAUUCGAUGUAUCCAAUGUCUUUCCAGUAAGCUUUGAUGAAAAUUAGCUAAAAAGUUUGAAAUUGCAGGAAUGGUUUCAAUUGGUUCGUAUUCCCUGCAUUUUUGUCUUUGGUGAAAUUGAUGUUAGAUAAUUGUCCAAUGGAAUAAACAAUGACACAGACGAGAUUUCACAAUGAAGAAAAUUGUUAAUAGUGAUGAGGUUAAAGUGAAGAGAAAUCGUUGGGAUUUCAGUCAAAAAAUAGUAUGCACAGAAGGAAAGAUAAACAGGGGAACAAUGAAGGAAAAUUGUUUCUUCUGAUGGAAUUUCUUUUUUUACGUGAGACACUAGAGAUGAAAAUGAAUUCAUUCCGAGCAAAGAUGGUGAACCCGGUCAGGUUGAGUUUAUAGUCCAAUUGAUGCAAUUUGCCAGAAAUUGCUAUGAAGCCGCUCGGUUAUUGUAUAGCAUCAAAGUAAUGGCAGACAUAGUGAUUUAAUUGGGUCGGAGCAGAUUGGAUGAGGUUGAUGGGUUUUUUCUUCAAAAUUGGGUAUCUAUUUUGAUUUGGAAAUUUCCAUCCAAAUUAGGGGUAUAUGUGAUAAGUUUGAUAACGGCAAGGGUAAAUAUGACCACAUAGUAUGACGGAGGGUAAAGUUAGCUAAUUAAUGAAAGAAGAGGGGUAUUUUUGACACCCUUUUCCCUAUAUUUUAUGCAGGAUAGAAUGGAAUAACCAAACCCUGCAUAAAAUAAUACAUAGAUUUCCCUCGUAACUGAUGCUCUAUAUUAUUAAUACCUGCAUAACUCUAAGGAGCCUGUAACUAUUCUAACCAGCUAUCAAACGACCAGGUAACUAUUCUAUUCAGAUGAUUUUCCUAAACAAGGACAUACAACUAGUGAAGUUAGAAAUUCAACCUCCUGCGCAGGAAAAGAAAGGUAAGACCUAAGUAAAAAUUCAAGAGCCCUAUUGCAUUUAACACUCAAUCUGCAGACUAGUGCCGGGAAGCCAAUUAAGGAACAUAUAAUUGUAGGGAGUACUAAAAGCGUGUACAAUUACUACCUUUUGGCGGCAUGGAGAAACAUCAGAAAAAACAAGCAGAAGCACUGUUGGAAGUAUUUCAGUAAGAGAAACAAAACCUCGUAAUUUUUGAGUAAUCGGAUCACGUACCAAUGAUCUGGUAGCCCCAAGUUCAAUCUCUCCAGUAGUACUCGACGCAUCAUGAUUCUUUUUCAAAAAUUCCAGGUUAAUGGAAACUUUGGUCAUUUACAGGCAACCGCAGUUUCUCAGAUGAGUUAUACAAGAAUUACCUGCUUUCCUUUUUAUUUAACAAACAAUUUUUCCCUUCUACAACUAAUCUAACCAGAUGUGCAAUUAGGCCAAUUUGGAACAUGGUCAAAACAAUAAAAAAGGCGUUACAACAGAUAUGAAUGAAGAAUUAUAAUUAAAUUGAAAAUCAUCCAUUGUCAACAAGGCAAUCAUGUUCCUAAAACAUCAACAGGUUCAUCGAACAUUGAACAACAAAGAUCUCGAGCAAUAGCCAAGUCAACAAAUAAAACAACACACCUAGCAAAACGGACACAGGAAGAGCAGGCAAAGCUUUCUGAUAAAAUGCAAGAAGCAUCAGAGUGAUCCCAAGAUCAGCUAUAAUAGCAAGAUAGCAGGCAUAAACUGUCAUGAAAUCAUACAUCGCAGCCCUGGCAACUAAUACACUGUAGAAUAUGAAGUCUCCUAGCCCCAGCUUAAUAGCACCUGAGGAUCCCAAACCAAUUCCUUCAAGUGCAAAAUCAUCAUUUGACCCUUCCUGUAAAUUCAUUCGGACAUUUAUCCUAUGCUGAAUUAGCGGUGCAGCCAGCUCAGAAUCUUCUCUUGAAACCUGACCAUCCUCCAUAUCAACCGCAUUCCUCUCAUUCUCAUCACUACCGUACAGUGGAUGCCCUUCAAGAACAGAACGUGAUUCCGAAAUAGAAUUAACAUUUGAAUUCAAGUUAGACCUAGAAUCCAAAUUUUCAUCGGAACCAAAUUCAGUCUCCCGUCUUUCUCUCCACACUCUCCUUUGCACAAAACCACCCCUUGGAACCGACUCACGAUCAAUAACAGGGCGAGCCUCAUAAACCAAAGCCGGAAUAUCUUCAUCCCUAGACAUCGCAAGCUCAACAAGCAACCUUAAAGGCCCACCGGGCAACAAAACAGCUGCAAGAUCAUACAAUGCCAUCGCUACCAAAAGCACCCAAGUAGUCCAUUCAGGCAACAUCGUAAACCAAUACGCAACCAACACUCCAAUAACAACCAAAUACCCUUGAGUAACAACAAUCGCCAUCUUCGACAUAAACACAGCCAAAACCCCAACAACUGUAAAAUUAAACAAAAUCAAACCAAACGAAACACAAUCAAUAGGCACCCUAAACUUCCCAAUCAAGAAAAUAGCUAUUUCACCACCCAUGAAUCCCAAAACAAGAAAAGACGAAAACCCCAUAUAAUAUUUCAAGAAUUUAGUACACCUAAAGUAGAAAAGCAACACUAAAAGGAAUGUAACAACAGUGACAACAACAACAAAGACCAAAGCAUUCAAAAGGGCACCUUUUAAUUUGUCCCAAUUUGAGUCCGAGCUACUUUCAUUAUAAGCCACGGUUGCUAUUGAGGUAAAUGAGGGGUUUGAUGAAUCUGUGUCAUUAUUGAGUACUGUAACAAGAAUGACCACUAAGAGCAUGUAAAUUGAAACUGGUGUUAUUAUUCUCACUAUUUCUUCACCUAGUGAAUCAAGAACACUUUUGGGUUUUGAAUUUUCGUCCAUCUGGAACACCAAAUUGAAAUGAAUUUGGGAACAAUUGCAAGAAUUUUGGAUUUAAUAGGUGUUGAGAAUUGCUUUUGGAUUCUGGGAAAAAUUUGGAACUUCCAAUAUUGACUUUGGAUCUUGAGAGACUUAUCAAAAAAGUAACCCGACCCGAGUUAGAUCCGAAUUAUGAAUUUGUGAUUCAUGACUCUGGCCCAAAUUUAGCUA
rnacentral:lncRNA from 1 species